UUUCCGUAGGUGAACCUGCGGAAGGAUCAUUAAUGAGUUGUCAUGGGGUUCGAUGCUGCAGCCAAUUUUUGGAUGCAUGUGCUUGCCCUAACAAUCAUCUUCCAAACACCUGUGCACAUUUUUGAGGGAGUCUUGAGUUGGUUGCCGCUCUUGGGUGAUUUUCUCACAUUCCCUUAAAUCAUUAUACGCUAUUAACAAUGUUGAACGUGCUCUGUGCCGCAAGGCUAUUAAUAUAAUACAACUUUUAACAACGGAUCUCUUGGCUCUC
rnacentral:misc_RNA from 1 species